CAGAGCGUAGCUAAGCAACAUAGCACCUCCCUUACACCGAGAAGACGCCCGUGCAAGUCGGGCCGCCCUGA
rnacentral:tRNA from 1 species